GUGCGUGAUGAUGUAAAUAUUCUUCACUUUGACCUGACUGUCUCGUGAUGAAAGAUUUAAGUCUGAUA